rnacentral:lncRNA from 10 species
AAGAUUUUGGCUGAGGAAUCUGCUCUUGGUCAAAACUGUAGAAUGUUCAGCUCUGAUGAGAUAAACUGAGGCUGCUUGGGAGAGAAUUUUUGGAUCUGCCUGGAAUUUGUGCAAUCUGAAAUGAAGACCAUGGAGGCUCUAUGUGAACCACGAGACUAGAAAGAAUGAUGCCCAUUCUCCUGCUUCCAGGAAGGACUGUAUUUUUACACAUAGUAUUUUUGUUCUGACUAUGACAAAAAUACAUACACAUUUUGGAAAGUACAGAAAAUAAUAAAGAAAAUGAAAACAAUCUACAAUUCUACUACCCAAAGAUGAUUACGAUUGGCAUUUGAAAUUUUCUGAGUUUACAAAAAAAUGCCUUUUAU